rnacentral:rRNA from 1 species
AUGAACGCUAGCUACAGGCUUAACACAUGCAAGUCGAGGGGCAGCAUGAUCAAAGCUUGCUUGAUGAUGGCGACCGGCGCACGGGUGAGUAACGCGUAUCCAACCUUCCCUAUAGUAGAGGAUAGCCCGGCGAAAGUCGGAUUAAUACUCUAUGUUGUAUUUUGCGGACAUCUAACGAAUACCAAGGUUUACCGCUAUAGGAUGGGGAUGCGUCUGAUUAGGUUGUUGGCGGGGUAACGGCCCACCAAGCCUUCGAUCAGUAGGGGUUCUGAGAGGAAGGUCCCCCACAUUGGAACUGAGACACGGUCCAAACUCCUACGGGAGGCAGCAGUGAGGAAUAUUGGUCAAUGGGCGAGAGCCUGAACCAGCCAAGUAAGCGUGCAGGAUGACGGCCCUAUGGGUUGUAAACUGCUUUUAUACAGGGAUAAAGUGGGGAACGUGUUCCCUUUUGUAGGUACUGUAUGAAUAAGGACCGGCUAAUUCCGUGCCAGCCGCCGC